rnacentral:rRNA from 1 species
AGUGAACGCUGGCGGUAGGCCUAACACAUGCAAGUCGAACGGCAGCACAGUAAGAGCUUGCUCUUACGGGUGGCGAGUGGCGGACGGGCGAGGAAUACAUCGGAAUCUACUUUUUCGUGGGGGAUAACGUAGGGAAACUUACGCUAAUACCGCAUACGACCUACGGGUGAAAGCAGGGGAUCUUCGGACCUUGCGCGAUUGAAUGAGCCGAUGUCGGAUUAGCUAGUUGGCGGGGUAAAGGCCCACCAAGGCGACGAUCCGGAGCUGGUCUGAGAGGAUGAUCAGCCACACUGGAACUGAGACACGGUCCAGACUCCUACGGGAGGCAGCAGUGGGGAAUAUUGGACAAUGGGCGCAAGCCUGAUCCAGCCAUACCGCGUGGGUGAAGAAGGCCUUCGGGUUGUAAAGCCCUUUUGUUGGGAAAGAAAAGCAGCAGGUUAAUACCCCGCUGUUCUGACGGUACCCAAAGAAUAAGCACCGGCUAACUUCGUG